CCACAGUUUCUUGCAUAUCUUGAUCUCUGUAUGGUUUGUGAAAAUAAUGUCGCUACUUGGCGUCGAGCUGCAUUCUUUGAAGAAACUGGCGAGACUUACAAAAGAGUUGUAGCUGUAUGUUUGAGGCCUCUUGAGCAGCUUGCUUCAUAAUACUUUUAAUCUUGNNNNNNCUCAUUCCGAUGAUAAGACUUACCAACAACACAAUCAAUUGCAGUUACAAACUGAUCCGCAACAAGAUUCAAAGUAUUAUGAAGCCCUGAACAACUUCCAGCAAUGUGCAUGG
rnacentral:misc_RNA from 1 species